rnacentral:lncRNA from 10 species
AGAGCUGCUGAGGACCUUCCCUUGGGCUAAAAUGGUCCGUGGAAGAUGUAAGCAGGGCUGCUUUCGACUUCUUAACGUCACAAGUAACAGAGGUUUUUUUUCUUCUUUUUCUGCCUCUCUUGGUGCACCACAGCUACCAAGUAAACAAAAAGUCCCAACAAGCAGUAAUUAUAGCGGCAGCUGCCCCAGUGAUGCGAACAUAAAUGCAAAGACCUUCAAGCAGCAGGAAAAAAAGACACCAUGUCCGAGAUGUAAUUUUCCGAGCUCUUUACAAAUUUAUGUCACAGACUAAGGCUUUAGCCUUUGCAAAAGCAUGCAACCUGAACCAGACUGUCUUGAAUCUCCAGUCCAGAAAAUGUCCUCUUUUCUCUCUGUCACAUCUUUGAAGCGAAUCCACGCACAUCUUCUCCCCAACUUCUUAAAGCUUGUGUUUGUUUUCUCGUAACUCAUUUUGAUUCUUUAAACUUGGAUGUCAUGAACUAGAACUUUUUAUGGCCAUUUAAUUAGAUAUUCUUCAUCUAUUUGGUAUCGUGCUUGAGUAGGCCGAAUUAGGGAGAGUGUGUGUGUGCGUGUGUGUGUGUGUGUAUGUGUAAAUUGUUUUGUUUUGCUUUCUAAAGACAAGGUCUCCGCUGUCUCGCCAGGCUGAAGUGCAGUGGUGUGAUCAUAGCUCACUGUAACCUCCAACUCAAGCCGAAUUAGGGAGAGUGUGUGUGUGUGUGUGUGUGUGUAAAUUGUUUUGUUUUGCUUUCUAAAGACAAGGUAUCCGCUGUCUCGCCAGGCUGAAGUGCAGUGGUGUGAUCAUAGCUCACUGUAACCUCCAACUCAAGCGAUCCUCCCGCCUCGGCCUCCCACAAGUGCUGGGAUUACAGGCGUGAGCCACUGCGCUCGGCCUUAAUGUUAUUGAUACUGUAAUAAACUGGAAUUCCUAUACUGUUACCUGUAUAUUUUAUACCAUUUAUUACCAUUAACAUAAGUGAAGAGAAUUUUUUUUUUUUUGAGACGGAGUUUCGCUCUCGUUGCCCAGGCUGGGGUGCAAUGGUGUGAUCUCGACUCACCGCAACCUCUGCCUCCCAGGUUCAAGCGAUUCUCCUGCCUCAGCCUCCCAAGUUGCUGAGAUUACAGGCAUGCACCACCACGCCCAGCAAAUUUUUUGUAUUUUUAAUAGAGACGGGGUCUCACCAUGUUGGUUAGGCUGGUCUCGAACUCCCAACCUCAGGUGAUCCGCCCGCCAGCCUCCCAAAGUGCUGGGAUUACAGGUGGGAGCCACCGAGCCUGGCCAUAAGAGUCUUCUUUAAUUCUCAGUUUGAGAAAUGAAUGAUUCUAGUUUUGCUGCAACAUUAAUAGGCUCAAAAACGGACGUUUCAAAACCAUCAUAAUUGUAUCCAUUUAUAAUGAGAUACAUGGAAUCAUCAAAGGAUGGCAGAAUCUCACGAAUGGUUUUUUUUUCCUUCAUUAAAAUAUUCAGUCUUAGGAAAUAGUUACCUGCAGACAUUACAUCUCAUAUCACCUGUGCUUUUUACUAAUCUCUUGUGGUAGUGCUGUCAACAAAUGAUAUUUUUAUUUUCCAGCUCUUAAACCACCUUAUAGCAUGUUUUCUGUUGCACAGUAUUUUUAUAAUGAAUUCCAGUGAUUAGAGGCAAAUGGCACUUUCCCUUAAAAUUCAACUGGAAAAAACUCCAAAGCCAUAUUUUGCAUUACUAAGAUGAUUACUGAAAAUUACAUUUAUAAAGACUGUAUUUUUUUUUUUAAUUUUUAAAAUGUAUUUAUUUUGGCCAGCCACGGGGCUCACAGCUGUAAUCCCAGCACUUUGGGAGGCCAAGGUCCGCAGAUCACUUGAGGUCAGGAGUUUGAGACCAGCCUGGCCGACAUGGUGAAACUCCGUCUCUGCUAAAAAUACAAAAAUUAGCCAGGCGUGAUGGCGGGCGCCUGUAGUCCCAGCUACUCGGGAGGCUGAGGCAGGAGAAUGGCGUGAACCCGGGACGCAGAGCUUGCAGUGAGCCGAGGUCGCGCCACUGCACUCCAGCCUGAGCGACAGAGCUAGGAAAAAAAAAAAAGCCGGGCGUGGUGGCCUGUGCCUGUAAUCCCAGCUAUUCUGGAGGCUGAAGCAAGUAAUCCCAGCUACUCAGGAGGCUAAGGCAGGAGAAUCACUUGAACCUAGGAGGCGGAGGUUGCAGUGAGUCGAGAUGGCGCCACUGCACUCCAGCCUGGGAGACAGGGCAAGACUCUGUCUCAAAAAAAUUAAUUAAUUAAUUAAUUAAAAAUAAAAAUCAAAUAGCCAGUGCAGUGGUAUGCACUUGUAGUCCCAGGUACUCGGGAGGCCGAGAUGGGAGGACUGUUUGAACCCUGGAGGUUGAGGUUGCAUUGAGCUGUGAUCACACCACUGCACUCCAGCCUGAGUAACACAGACAGACCUUGUCUCAAAAAAAAAGAAAAACUGUAUUUUUUUUAUUUGUCAAGCACGAAUGGCAUUACAUACCAGCAUGCACGAAUGGCAUUACAUACCAGCAUGAUAAUGAAUGGUAUUCCAGUGUUACAAGUUUGGGCUACUAUUUUAACUUAAUUCAUUAUUGAUAUUUUGCAAAUGUAUGGAAAACUGAUGAAAUAUUAAAGUAUAAGGUCUGCAUCUACA